rnacentral:lncRNA from 1 species
CUGGAACCGUCUGAGCGGCGGGGGAGCCGGUGUGUGAAGCCGGCACCACGUUAGCGGAACCGAGUUAUUGAAGGGCCCCACCUGGGUGGAGCCGUGAGUGUGAGCAGCUUCCGCUUCCCCCGGAAGCUGGCGUCGUGCAGGAACCCUCACCCGCCCGAGCGGGGCCCUGGGCCUCCGGGUCACUCUCUGUGGCGGGGUCUGGCUGCGCGUCAGACGGCCUCCUCCAAUGCCCGCAGUUGCUGUCGCCCCCAGGCCUGGACCGGGGAGUGAGGGGUGGGCCUGACCGGCCCCUGAGCUCCCGUCAGCCCCCCACGCGAGCCCGUCCUGUGCUGGGGGCAGGGAGAUGGGCCGGUGGGAGAGGAGACCGCAUCCAGCCCUCCCUGGCCACCUGCAGGGUCCCCACCGUGGCGGCUGCUUUACUGCUAACUCCUCCCGGGGACCCCAAGUCCCCAUCGCUCUCGGGGGUCCCCCUCAUCCGAACCGCCUCGGAGGAGGGCCGCAUCUCACGCGGAGCACCCCUCCACGCCUGUGACCCUGGACUUGCUCUCCCGCCCCCGCCCGGGCCUCAGGGCUCAGGAGGCCGUGAUGAAGCCAGCAGGUGAACUGCACCCUGGAGCCUCCGACGGGGCGGCCACGGGCAGCGAAGAACCCGGAAAAACAGUACCCUUCUGAGGUUAAUCCGCGUUGAUAGAAGCAGGUGUGGUUCAUCUGGAAUCUGUUGGUGUGAACUGCGCGGCGGCGUCCCCCACCAGGCACCACAGGUGAUUCAUUCGUUUCCCUGAAAAGGCGCCUGGAUGCUGUUUCUAGCUCCCGUUAUCCCCAGCGAUGCUGCACCUGCCCCAGGACACACGCUAGGGUGGAACCGCCGGGCAUGGAGCAGGUGUGGUCUCAACCGCAGGAGAAACAGCCGGGUAGCCUCCAAAGGGACGUGCCACUUGGCGCUCCUGCAAGGGGAGAGGCACUGAGGCUCUCGGUCCUCACCAGCACGUCCUUGUGCCACACUCAGGCCCGGCGGGUGGUGUGGGGGCCGCAUCUCAUGGAGGUCUCCGUCCACGUUGCCCCCAUUGUGACCGCAGCGGGCGCCUCUUGGUAGCAGCCACCGGCCUCUUCUGGGACUCGCCGGAGGGUUUCCACGUCGCCCGCUCCGACGGGGCUGUUCAUCUCCCCUUGAUCUGUGGGACUCCCCGUCCGUCUCAGGUUGCAUUCCAUGGGCCCGGGAGCCUUUUUUGGACAGACGCCGUGGUGUGACUCCAGCUGAGCUGCCCCCUUGGCCAGGGCCACCAGAGGCAGCCCCCUGCCUCCAGAUCAAGAGCCCACCCACCCUCACGGGUGGCCAGGAGCUGGCCCCUGGCCUGUGGGCCGGCCUGGCUGCCUUGGUCAUGGCAGGAAGGAUCCAUCACUGCUGCCUGAUGGAUGAUCUGAGCCGCCUCCUGCCCGCGCCCCGUGCUGUUUCAGCUGCAGAAAAAUGUUUAUCACUCGGCACAGCAGCGACCCUCCCUCCCUGCCUGCCUCCCUCCCUGCCUGCCUCCCUCCCUCCC